UUAUAUAUUGCGCAGUCUGUGGCGUAGUCAGCGUAGCCCAGUCGUUAUUGCCCGUCGACGUCCGUAGGCUUUUUGACUGACACGUACGUCAGAAGCAGCAGCUGUAACUGAGAUGCGGCCACAGGAGCAGCAGGUCCUGGUGCUGACCUUGAGCACGCAGGGCGGCCUCGUGGCCCAGCAAGGGCCCGGCCCCUCCACCUCGGCGGCUCCCCCGGCCGACGGCAGCCUGCCUCCCCACCGAGAGUCACUGCUGUGCUGGUCGCCGGGUCACCAUCGUGGCAUGGGCCACCACGGAAAUGGUGGGCACCACCUCAUGGGUGGCCACCAUGGCAAGUUUGGGCACCAUGGCAAGUUUGGGCACCAUGGCAAGUUUGGGCACCAUGGCAAGUUUGGGCACCAUGGCAAGUUUGGGCACCACGGCAAAGGUGGGCACCACUUCAAGGGUCACCACGGCAAGUUUGGGCACCAUCUCAUGGGUGACCACCACGGCAAGUUUGGGCACCACGGAAAGUUUGGGCACCACUUCAAGGGCCAUCACCACAAGGGUGGCCAUCAUUUCAAGGGCUUCCAUCUGAAUGGGCCGCACCACUUUGGUCCUCAUCGCCACGGCGGCUGUGGGCUCGGGCGCAGCGCCUCUGUGCCACCCCAGCAGUGUGGGGCCACUCCCGCAGGACUCCCCGUUAGGCGUGAGGUGUGUGUGUGUGAAUAAAGGCUUCCCAGCCCAGCAAAAAGCCUACUGCAGCCUCACACACCAAGCGUGAGAUGGCGUGGCGUUGUGGUUGGACGCGUUCGACCCGGUGUGGCUGGACACCCAACACACUCGGUUCUGUGAAAGAUUUUGCAACGGUGGUUUAUGACUAAUGGUUACCACAAGAGUUCACACGUUGAAAAGAAAAAUGGCCAAGGUCGGAAGUAUGGCCAGGUUGACAACCUUGGUCUGCUUACGUUCUACAUAAAUCUGCACGUCGUUACGUUGGCUGCUGCUAAGCGUGGCAACACUGUGACGAGCGGCAACCUGCAGCUGUCGCCACGGCUACCAACACCAUCACUGGUGCAUCCCAUGAAGAUGGGUCAAUGAGAAGAUUUUGUACAAUUAUUUGAAUUGCCUGUCAAUUACUGUACUUUUACUGCAUAUGUAACAACAUUUCAGUGAAAUAAAGUACUGAUGAGGAAAAAAGUC